GACGAACGCUGGCGGCGCGCUUAACACAUGCAAGUCGAGCGAAGCGGCGGACGGGUGAGUAACACGUGAGUAACCUGCCUUAGACCUUGGGAUAGCCUCGGGAAACCGGGAUUCAUACCAAAUGAUCUAAGAUGGACUCGCGUCCCAUUAGCUAGUUGGUGGGUAACGGCCCAACAAGGCGACGAUGGGUAGCCUGCCUGAGAAGCUGAAUGGCCACAUUGGAACUGAGAAACGGUCAAAACUCUACGGGAGGGAGCAGUGGGGAAUAUUGCACAAGGGAGUGAACUCUGAUGCAGCGAGGCCGCGUGAACGAAUAAGGCUUUCGAGUCGUAAAGUUCUUUUAUAUGGGAAGCGGUACCAUAAGAAAAAGCCCCGGCUAACUACGUGCCAGCAGCCGCGGUAAUUC
rnacentral:rRNA from 1 species